rnacentral:rRNA from 1 species
CCUACGGGAGGCUGCAGUUAGGAAUUUUGCGCAAUGGGCGAAAGCCUGACGCAGCAACGCCGCGUGAGUGAAGAAGGCCUUCGGGUUGUAAAGCUCUUUUAUUCGGGAAGAAACAAAUGACGGUACCGAAAGAAAAAGCACCGGCUAACUCUGUGCCAGCAGCCGCGGUAAUACAGAGGGUGCAAGCGUUAUUCGGAAUUACUGGGCGUAAAGCGCAUGUAGGUGGUUUGAUAAGUCUGGUGUGAAAGCCCCCGACUCAAUCGGGGAAGUGCAUUGGAUACUGUCAGACUGGAGUAUGGGAGAGGAGAGUGGAAUUCCAGGUGUAGAGGUGAAAUUCGUAGAUAUCUGGAGGAACAACAGAGGCGAAGGCGGCUCUCUGGACCAUAACUGACACUGAAAUGCGAAAGCGUGGGGAGCAAACAGGAUUAGAUACCCGGGUAGUC